UUGGCAGUUCAGAGAGUUGAUCAUGGCUCAGGAUGAACGCUGGCGGCGUGCUUAACACAUGCAGGUCGAACGAAGCCCCGGAAGCAGAUCUCGGAAAAGCGGACGGGAGACUUAGUGGCGGACGGGUGAGUAACGCGUGGGCAACCUGCCCUUGGAGGGGGACAACAGCCGGAAACGGCUGCUAAUACCGCAUGAUCCGGCGGCUCCGCAUGGGGGUGCCGGGAAAGGAGCGAUCCGCCCAGGGAUGGGCCCGCGUCUGAUUAGCCGGUUGGCGGGGUAACGGCCCACCAAAGCGAUGAUCAGUAGCCGGACUGAGAGGUUGAACGGCCACAUUGGGACUGAGACACGGCCCAAACUCCUACGGGAGGCAGCAGUGGGGAAUAUUGCACAAUGGAGGGAACUCUGAUGCAAGCGACGCCGCGUGAGUGACGAAGUGUUUCGGCAUGUAAAGCUCUAUCAGCAGGGAAGAAGACGACGGUACCUGACUAAGAAGCCCCGGCUAACUACGUGCCAGCAGCGGC
rnacentral:rRNA from 1 species